rnacentral:lncRNA from 1 species
CUUUUAAGCAAUUCUUUAACAAAAGCAGAAAACACAUACCGAUAACGAUCUGUAAAGCAGUUGUAGAAAAUAGAAAACAGAAACUUUAAAGAAGCAAUUGAUUGAAGAAUUAAGAAUAAAGAAAGUUUAUAGACCAAAAAAAAAGCAAAUCCCACUUCAAGAAUAUAAUACCUUUCUUUUGUAGUCUUCACAAAGCUUAGCAUCUAAACCAAUUCCUCUCCUUAGCCACCAAGAAACCCAUAACUCUACAUAAAACACUAACAAACUUCUCCAUUCUCACUUUUAUCUUUCAUUUUCAUCUGCAAAGGAAAAAACAAGAACCUGUUACACACAAACAAAAACACAUUUCAGAUUACAGAUUUUGUUGAGAUAUGAGUGCAGAUUGGGGACCCGUGAUUGUAGCAGUGGCUCUGUUCAUCCUACUCUCACCAGGAUUGCUCUUUCAGCUACCGGCAAGGACAAGAGUGAUGGAGUUUGGGAACAUGAG